rnacentral:rRNA from 1 species
AUUCCAGCUCCAAUAGCGUAUAUUAAAGUUGUUGCAGUUAAAAAGCUCGUAGUUGGACUUCUGGGUUGUGAUUGUGGUCCGCCUAACGGUGUGCACUGUGGUUGCGACUCUUCUUCCCGUAGUUUGGGGGUGCACUUAGUUGUGUGCUUUUGGAAUAUGGGACCUUUACUUUGAAAAAAUUAGAGUGUUCAAAGCAGGCCUUCGCUUGAAUACAUUAGCAUGGAAUAAUAGAAUAGGACUUUGGUUCUAUUUUGUUGGUUUCUAGGACCGAAGUAAUGAUUAAUAGGGACAGUUGGGGGCAUUAGUAUUUAAUUGUCAGAGGUGAAAUUCUUGGAUUUAUGAAAGACUAACUACUGCGAAAGCAUUUGCCAAGGAUGUUUUCAUCA